UGCCCAAGAGAUCGGGAUAACACCUGGAAACAGAUGCUAAUACCGGAUAACAACAGAUGAUGCCUAUCAACUGUUUAAAAGAUGGUUCUGCUAUCACUCUUGGAUGGACCUGCGGUGCAUUAGCUAGUUGGUAGGGUAACGGCCUGCCAAGGCGAUGAUGCAUAGCCGAGUUGAGAGACUGAUCGGCCACAUUGGGACUGAGACACGGCCCAAACUCCUACGGGAGGCAGCAGC
rnacentral:rRNA from 1 species